rnacentral:tRNA from 1 species
AGGAUUAUAUUUAAUUAUAAUAUUUGAUUUGCAUUCAAAAGGUGUUUUUAUUAACUAAUCUU